AUGAACGCUAGCUACAGGCUUAACCCAUGCAAGUCGAGGGGAAACGGCAUCGAAAGCUUGCUUUUGAUGGGCGUCGACCGGCGCACGGGUGAGUAACGCGUAUCCAACCUGCCCAUCACUUGGGAAUAACCUUGCGAAAGUAAGACUAAUGCCCAAUGACAUCCCACGAAGGCAUCCGAAUGGGAUUAAAGAUUUAUCGGUGAUGGAUGGGGAUGCGUCUGAUUAGCUUGUUGGCGGGGUGACGGCCCAACAAGGCAACGAUCAGUAGGGGUUCUGAGAGGAAGGUCCCCCACAUUGGAACUGACACACGGUCCAAACUCCUACGGGAGGCAGCAGUGAGGAAUAUUGGUCAAUGGGCGAGAGCCUGAACCAGCCAAGUAGCGUGCAGGAUGACGGCCCUAUGGGUUUUAAACUGCUUUUAUAAGGGAAUAAAGUGGGUCACGUGUGACUUUUUGCAUGUACCUUAUGAAUAAGGACCGUCUAAUUCCGUG
rnacentral:rRNA from 1 species